CGCCUGUUUAACAAAAACAUGUCUCUUUGAUAUAUAAUAAUAAGGAGUUGGGCCUGCUCGGUGAAUAUUUUUAACAGCUGCGGUAUUAUAACUGUACUAAGGUAGCAUAAUAAUUUGCCUUAUAAAUUAGGGCUAGAAUGAAUGGUUUGACGAAAAUUAUACUGUCUCUACUUUAAUUAUUAGAAAUUAAUUUUUAUAGUGAAAAAGCUUGGAUAAUUUAAAGGGACGAGAAGACCCUAUUGAGCUUUAUAUUAAAAUAUAAAUAGUUGUAAAAAUGUUAUUUAUUUUUUAUUUUUGGUUGGGGUGAUCAAGGAAUAAAUUUUUAGUAAAUAUAAUUUCCUUAUUAAUAUUAUUUGUUAGGAUAAUAAACCAAAAAUUUUGCUUAGAUGAUAAGUUACCAUAGGGAUAACAGCGUAAUUUUUUUAGAGAGUUCAUAUUAAAAAAAAAGAUUGCGACCUCGAUGUUGGAUUAAAAUAACCAUUAGGUGUAGAAGCUUUAUUUGGUAAAUCUGUUCGAUUUUUAAAAUUUUACAUGAUCUGAGUUCAAACCCGGCGUAA
rnacentral:rRNA from 1 species